UUUCAGUAUUUCUAUUCUAUAUCACGGCAGGGAUGCCCCUAUAUUAAUGUACCUACAUGUGGGGCGUGAGGGUAGUCUAUCUGCCAGAGGUGCAGAGGGGUUUUGCAUUGACCAUCUUCGAAAUGUCAAGUCUAAUAUAUAACUGGGAUGCAAAAGAUCCAAAAUGAUAAUAGAUUAAAGUUUUGCUCACUUUAUCCACAAAACUUAGUACAUCAUAUUUAACUUCCCAACUUGAGUAGACGAUACGUACUCAGACCAUCACUACAAAUCGUAAUAGCCGGAUUUAUCAAUACAUGUACUGUACCCUAAUCCUUGGGAGAAUUCUGUUUUCAGAUUUGCACGAGCAUUUAAAUGUUAAGGGACAAACUUCCGUUUAUUCCUUUGACGGAGUGAUUUACAGAAAACAAUGGUAGAAAAGUGGGUAAUUGAAGAUGUUUGGGAACGGCUUGAGGAAAUUCAUCUGAGUGACGCAAAAGAAACGUUCAAAGGAACCAACAAGUCCCAACCCCACCAUCAUUUUCCAUGGAGCAACAAAUCCCAUUGAAGCAGAAAAGAUCAGCAUCAAGAUGGACGUGACAAUUCUAAAUGCACAAAUGGAUGUGGCCAGAGCAUUGGAGUGUCUUUUUGGGGUUUACUUCCUUUUUGGAGUGGAGUACCCCAAACCUAUCACACACUAACAUUUAUGGAACGCUACUUGUUUAGACUAAAACACAGAAAGGAUUUCUAUCCCAGUACUGAAGAUGUACAAUACAUUUUGAAAGAAAGUUUAAAAAGGUAGUCUAGAGAUGAAAAGGUGUUUAAAAAAAUUCAUAGUUUUUUGUGUUUUAAUUCACACAAGCAUUUAAUUUUUUUACUGUCGUGAACUUGUUGAUGCA
rnacentral:lncRNA from 1 species